rnacentral:rRNA from 1 species
GACGGGGACCCGCACAAGCGGUGGAGCAUGUGGUUUAAUUCGAAGCAACGCGAAGAACCUUACCAGGUCUUGAGAUCCGGAUGAAGGGCGGGUAAAGCCGCCGGCUCUUCGGAGCAUCCGAGACAGGUGGUGCAUGGUUGUCGUCAGCUCGUGUCGUGAGAUGUUGGGUCAAGUCCCGCAACGAGCGCAACCCUUGCGGCCAGUAGCCAGCGAGUAAAGUCGGGCACUCUGGCAGGACUGCCGGGGACAACCCGGAGGAAGGUGGGGAUGACGUCAAAUCAUCAUGCCCCUUAUGACCUGGGCUACACACGUGCUACAAUGGCGCACACAGAGGGAAGCGAACCUGAGAAGGGGAGCAAAUCCCAAAAAAGGCGUCCCAGUUCGGACUGCGGUCUGCAACCCGACCGCACGAAGCUGGAAUCGCUAGUAAUCGCAGAUCAGAAUGCUGCGGUGAAUACGUUCCCGGGUCUUGUACACACCGCCCGUCACACCAUGGGAGUCAGAAAUGCCCGAAGCCAGUGAGCUAACUGGAAAGAGGCAGCUGUCGAAGGCAGGUCUGGGGGCUGGGGUGAAGUCGUAACAAGG